UUGCAUUGCUUGAGAUGGUUGCAGGCAGGCUGGAUAUUCUAGGUUUCCUCCUGGCAUGACUAGGAGAGAAAACCCUGAGUGAUUACUCUUUCAGGUGAAGGAUGAUGUCUGCUUUGCAUUAGCAUUUGCACUCUAACAGGGUCCUUUGGCUGUUUCUGAGAGGCUGCGUUAACAGCAUCACCACCAGGCACUUCCAUCUCUGCUUGGUUUUGGUGGUUGCAGCUUUUCCUUUCCACAGUGUCAUGCCCAGAAUAGAUUCCUUUUAAUGUUCUUUUCACCCGUCUGACACAAGUCACUCAGAAUUUUUUCUAGUGCAGGCUGGAGCUGCCAGCUCCCUUAAGGUAGCUUGCACCUGGAGCUGCACAGCUGUACCCUGUGGAUUUAUAUAUGCUUCCAGUUUGCUGACUGCUGUUGAAAAUGCCAGUUUGGCUUUGGUCUCCUGACAGAACUGAACCAGCAGCUCACCACAUGUCAGCAGUGCCUCAGUCAAUCAGGAGCACCGGCAUGGCUGAGGGCAAGGUCUGUGCUGUAGGGGCUCCUUACGCUGAAAUUGGCUUUUUAUUUUUAAUUUAGUGAAGUGCAGAUGUGACUUACUUUGGAGAACAAUUGCACCAUCUUUUCCCCCACACAGGCCUGGAGAUGAUACAGUGUUUGAGUGAUUUUAAAUAGCUAAUGAACUUAUAAAAUGUAUUUGAUAAAUUGCUCCAAUGAUUUUUGAAGGCUUUAUGGAUGUGCAGAAAGAUCAAAACAUAAGCCCUUUAAUGAACUUCAGUAAUGAAAAAGGGAGUGAUACUAUUCUUAAGCUGGUUGCAGCAUAUAGUAAGCUUUCCAUAUGAUACAUUCAGCUGCUGCAAUUGUUCCUUAUUCCGAUAUUACUGGGGGAAAUGAAACUAAACAGGAAGACAGGAAUACCUGCUGACAGUCCAGUAAUGAGCAUAAACUGAAACUGAGGGAAAGGAAAAAAAAAAAAAAAAAGGUCACUUGGUUCAACUGCAGACUGGAAAGUUGAAGAGGAAGGGAAGUACAAGAAAGCAGAACAAAAUGUACUUAUUUACACAGGUGAGGUUGUCAUAAAUUUAAUGUGUAACUAAGAUAAAGGGAUUAAACUUAUUAUCUCCCUUUACUUGAUUGUAAAACUUGAAAUCACAUUACCUUUCCAAAGUUUUACUUUCUGUGCUCAUUUGCUCAUCUGUUAAGGAAGUGAGGUCAAAGGUAGCUGCUUGUUACUUAAAAUGGAUUUUUUUUUUUUUUUUUUUUUUUAAUUCUAGUAAGCAACUCACUGAGUUGUGAGGAGGGUGAUGCUUCCUGGGCUGCCCAGUGGUUUUUCCAGGUAACUUUGAGAAACUUGUCACACCUGUGCUUUGUCAGAGGUACAAGAGGUACCCUAACAAUAUAGGAAGGCAUUGAGAUUGACUGAUGAAGUCAGUGUGUGAGUGAUGCAGUGUUGUCUGAAGUUCCUCUCUGCAAAACAGUCGUGUCAACUUUCUUUUCAGAUCACUGCUGGUAACUCGGUUUUUAUUAGCAAUCUCUCGAGAAUGUAAAAACACAGGUGCAUGUUACAAGAAAGGAAAAGUCAACACAGAUACUUUUCAAAUAUGAAGAAAACCCUAGAUAUAAAUACAGCUAUUUUUCUAACAGGUUCAGCUGAAAUUUUCACAGUACUGAGAUGCAUGUGCGCACAUGUCUGGGUAGCAUAUGAUACGGGUACGCAGACUGGUGGAGGCCCCGAGCACUCGAGGGCUGCUGGAGAGGAAGGCUGUAGCAGCACAAAGAAGCUUCCAACUCCCCAUCUGGAAAAAUCCCCCACAGGAGCACAGGCAAUGGCAAUGCCAUCUGUCUGUCUUCUGCAGAGCAGACCUCCUCUCCUGGGAGCAGAAAAAAAGCUGGCACAUGGAGGUGGGCUUUCACUUCCCUGCUGCACGGAGGUUGGAUGCAGAUUGCUGGGCGUUACCUGUAGAGACCAGGCUGCUCUGUUCUGUCCCCACUCCCUUAUUUUAGUCAGUUCUGUCUGAAUUCCAGUUCUCUUUAUUUUGCCUUUUUCCUUAUGACACCUUCUUCCUUCCCUUCUCUUCCCAGCAGACAACAAUGGAUUCCUUCCUCCUCCUCUCAUUCUUUUUUAUGCCGACUUGGCCUGUUUCUGAUCUUCUGCAGUCCUUUCUAGAGGUGUGUUAUGAACUGACAUAGUAUCUCUUUAAAUAAUUACUUUAUCUUGGGCAGUGUCCUGAUGCUGGAUGUUCCUUGGGUCACUGUGGAGACUUCAGAGACUCAAUAUAUAGUUAAGCUCCCUUUUAAAUAAUGAAAGGAAGCUGCAAGACCCUCUUAACCUUGGUGUCUCAGACAAGUGCAGAUUUAAUGAGCAAAAGGAGGUAUGGUAGUUAAAGCCUGUAGUGUAGUCCUUCCUCUUCCCAUCAGCACUAUCUGCAUGGGUCAGGACUGGUCUGGGUGUGGGUGACUUUACUAGAAGAUACAAAAUACUGAAGACAACCAAAUAUUUGACUUUAGGGAUGGGUGUAUUAGCUUGUUUUGGAUACUACAGUUCCUUAAUGUAGCAAAGCUGGGCGAGUUGAAUUUUGUCAUCUGACCCAAACCUGUAGGACCACUUUACAUUACAUUGUCUAUAUGAACCUAAAUCCCUAAGUUUCCUGUAGAAUCUUGAUUGGUGUAUUUUGGCAUGAAAUACUGGCCUAACCAAAAUAAAGAGAAUGUCUCCCAUUGAAUUUUAAAGUGAUUCCCUAUUCCCAUUGGUAUUUUUCAUAUCAAUUCUGCUCCAGAAGCACAAGUAGAAAUUACUAGGGUAUGAAGAGGAGGUAACUGCCCAGUGCCUUUCAUCCUUCUAACUCUACUAAAGAAAUAAGAAUGUGUGGAGUCAGUUGCUUUCCAAAAAAAUAAUCUGGUCAUCCCUUACUGAGUGGCAGCCAUUUCUGUUCCAGGGCAUCCCUAAAUUUGUGUCAUUUUCCAGCUGAUAAAUGUCAGAAAGCUGGGGAAAGCAAAAUAGACCAUUUCUCUGCCCUUUA